rnacentral:rRNA from 1 species
GUAGUCAUAUGCUUGUCUCAAAGAUUAAGCCAUGCAUGUCUAAGUAUAAGCAACUUGUACAGUGAAACUGCGAAUGGCUCAUUAAAUCAGCUAUCGUUUAUUUGAUAAUCCCUUACUACAUGGAUACCUGUGGUAAUUCUAGAGCUAAUACAUGCUUCAAGGAGUGGCUUUCGUCACUCUGCACUUAUUAGAUAAAAAACCAAUGCCCCUUUGGGGCUCCCUGGUGAUUCAUGAUAAUUUAGCGGACCGCAUUCCCUCGAGGAGGCGGUGGAUCAUUCAAAUUUCUGCCCUAUCAACUUUCGAUGGUAGGACAGUGGCCUACCAUGGUUUCAACGGGUAACGGGGAAU